CAGUGUUCAGAUAAAUACAAAUCAAAAACAAAAGUAAACUAUACUAAACAAACAAAUAUCAGUAGCAUCUAUCCAACUAUAGUCACACAACCAUCCAAACGAGCAUGCUCAGGAAACCAACUGGUAAUUGUGCUUUAUUCCAUUUCCAGUUCAAAGCUACAUCAAUGUAGUCUUAGUGUGUGCCUGAAUUAAGGAAAAAAUGAAUUACCUAUGAGUAGGUAAACAGGAGAGAAGAACAACAACAAAUCCUCCAGCAGAUGCAACAAUGAAACCAAACUCGAAACCCAGGAGCAAACAAGGAGGUUUUUGUCAAGUGGACCAGGAUUCACA
rnacentral:lncRNA from 1 species